rnacentral:rRNA from 1 species
AUUGGGACUGCAAAGCCUAAAGGCGUAAUGAAAGUGAAGGUCGACCUCGCGUCGACCGAGGGAGGAUGGGCCGCGUUAAGACGCGGCUCCGCACUCCCGGGGCGUCUCGUUCUCAUUGCGAGAAGAGGCGCACCCAGAGCGUACACGUUGGGACCCGAAAGAUGGUGAACUAUGCCUGGUCAGGACGAAGUCAGGGGAAACCCUGAUGGAGGUCCGUAGCGAUUCUGACGUGCAAAUCGAUCGUCGGAACUGGGUAUAGGGGCGAAAGACUAAUCGAACCAUCUAGUAGCUGGUUCCCUCCGAAGUUUCCCUCAGGAUAGCUGGCACUCGCCCGUUCUCUUCGAACGUAAACGAGUCUCAUCUGGUAAAGCGAAUGAUUAGAGGCCUUGGGGCCGAAACGACCUCAACCUAUUCUCAAACUUUAAAUGGGUGAGAUCUCUGGCUUGCUUGAACUAUGAAGCCAUGAGAGAUUUCGGAUCAGAGUGCCAAGUGGGCCAAUUUU